rnacentral:sRNA from 1 species
AGUUUAGCAACUGCAGUUCUUCUGGGUAGCAUGGGCUGCUUCUCCACAACCGCGAGAGGCCCGGCUGCCUGUUUAUUCCGGAGCAGCAGCAGUUGACAGACGGAGAGGCAGUGACUCUGCGCCCAGCAAUCCCUCUGCAGACAGCUCCCACAGGAGUCAUGCCCAGUGUGUGAAGGCUCUGGGCAUCACCAGUGGCCCCAGGGAAAAAGAAAGAAAUGGGAAACAGCAUGAAAUCCGCCCCUGCACCUGCCGAGAGGCCCCUGCCCAACCCAGAGGGACUGGAUAGUGACUUCCUUGCCGUGCUGAGUGACUACCCGUCUCCUGACAUCAGCCCCCCGAUAUUCCGCCGAGGGGAGAAACUGCGUGUGAUUUCUGAUGAAGGGGGUUGGUGGAAAGCUAUUUCUCUUAGCACUGGUCGAGAGAGUUACAUCCCUGGAAUAUGUGUGGCCAGAGUUUACCAUGGGUGAGUACAUUUCUCAAAUGGCAUCAAUUAAGCCUGAUGCUAGUGACUCAUAAGGUGGAACAAAGAUUCCUGCAUUCAUAGUAGAAAGGAAGGCACUGGGCCAAGAAGAGAUAGUCCUGCUCCCAACCCAGUCAAUAAGGAAAGGAGCAACCUUGGGCUAACUUAUCUCUUCUGCUUUCUGGGACUCAACUUCUCCCUCAGUAAAAUGAAGGAAGUUGGACCUUUCAGCUCUAACAUGGUGUUCCUGGCACAGAGUGGUAAACAGCUGGGAAAUGUUAUCGGAGGGCACAGCACAGUGCAGAGACUAGAAGUCAGUGUGUCUAGGUUCAAAUCCUGCCUCUGUCACUUACUGGCUGUGUGCCAGUGAACAAGAUUUUUAUGCAUGAGUUCCCUUUCCUCACCUGUCAAGUAGAGAUCAUAACAUACAACGACAGGGAUAAUAAUAUAUGAUAAUAUGAUCAAAGUGUAGGGUUGUUAUGAGAAUAAGAUGUAAUAAUACAUGUUUAGUUCUUGGAGCAAUGCCAGGCAUUACAGUAAGCCCUCGACAAAUAUUAGCUAUAUUCU